rnacentral:lncRNA from 1 species
UACAAGCUUGAAUUCCUAACUACGAGUCCUUGAAGCUCCCUUGCUGCCUGAGCGGAACUGAAAUGGCUCCCGGCUGAGGCAUUCAAGGGAAAACUCACUGAAAUAUUUGAAACUACCACCAUGAACAUUGCAUUGUUUCAGCAAGGAUUUUCCGCUCACAUGGGGUAGAGGUGAAGCUAGCAGCCACCUGGUGCCACGUCAAUUUGACCCAUGCUCUUGAUGUCUUCCAGCAUGAACUCCUGGAGGACUGUUUCUCACUGGUUCUCAGGGUCAGUGGUUUUCCCUCCACCCAGCACCAGUGCAGGGACAGGUGCUCUCCUUGCUGCUCCUGCUCUAAGGUGGGCUUUUAUUUUAAGUCUAAGAUAUCAGAUUUCCAACCUCAUUUUGGAGAGGCAUCCGGUUUUCUUUCUGAUGCCCUGUCCUCUGUGCAACUGUCUAAACAGAAAAAAAAAUUCCACUUUGUUUCCUGCCAAUUCUUUAUUGACUGCUGUGGAUUCCAUCCUUCAAUGCCAGCCCAGUUGUGCACUUACAAAGAUGUAUUUUUGUAGGUUUUACCCAACAUCUCAGUUGUUUUAUUGGGAAAGCUACUUAGUGUCCCUUAUGUUCAAAGUUGGAAGCUCCUGGCAACACCGUAGGUGAGACAGCUGCUCUUCCCCCUUUUCAUCAUCUUCGUGCUGGGUCCAGGCCUUCUUCGCUCUGUGAUUAAGAUGCCACAAUGGGCUGGGCACAGUGGCUCACGCCUGUAAUCCCAGCACUUUAGGAGUCCAAAAUGGGUGGAUCACCCAAAGCCAGGGAUUCAAGACCAGCCUGGCCAACAAGGUGAAGCCCCGUCUCUACUAAAAGUACAAAAAAUUAGCCAGGCACGGUGGUGGGCACCUGUAAUCCUAGCUACUGCAGAGGCUGAGGCAGGAGAGUCGCUUGAACCAAGAAGGCAGAGGUUGCAGUGAGCUGAGAUCGCGCCAUUGCAGUCCAGCCUGGGCAACAGAGUAAGACUCCAUCUCAAAAAAAUGUAUAUAAAUAAAUAAAAAUAAAAAUAAAUUGCUGCUAUAGCCUCUGAACUGCUUGGUCUGCCUCUGGCAUCCGUUCUCAUGCCCCACAUUAGCAGAGAUGCGAUCACACCCAGUGGGAAGGCAGGG